AUUGAACGCUGGCGGCAGGCCUAACACAUGCAAGUCGAGCGGCGCGGCCGACGGGUGAGUGUUGCCUAGGAAUCUGCCUGGUAGUGGUGGAUAACGUCCGGAAACGGGCGCUAAUACCGCAUACUAUCAGAUCAGCCUGGGUCGGAUUAGCUAGUUGGUGGGGUAAAGGCCUACCAAGGCGACGAUCCGUAACUGGUCUGAGAGGAUGAUCAGUCACACUGGAACUGAGACACGGUCCAGACUCCUACGGGAGGCAGCAGGGGGGAAUAUUGGACAAUGGGCGAAAGCCUGAUCCAGCCAUGCCGCGUGUGUGAAGAAGGUCUUCGGAUUGUAAAGCACUUUAAGUUGGGAGGCGUUACCAACAGAAUAAGCACCGGCUAACUUCGUGCCAGCAGCCGCGGUAAUAC
rnacentral:rRNA from 1 species